AUGAGAUACUUUCCCUAUCAAAAACACUGAUACCCUUCGUUCCGAUUCCUCUGCUGCUCCUCUCUUAGCUUUCUCCCGAUCAAGAAGAUCCGCCUUCUCCGGUCCGGCACCCGCCGGUGCCGGAGGUUUAAUCCUUUAACCCUUCCUCUCCUUUUCCUUUUGCCUUUCUCCCCAUCGGUUUUAACCCUGUCGAGAUGCUCGUGACUCUGAGCCUGGCUGAGUCUCACCGGAAACUGUAGAGGUUGAAGGUGGCUUCAUAUGGUGGUGUUGGAGGAACGGCGAGACAGUGGAACGACAGAUGCGGUUUGUGGUGUUUGGUUCUGUUCAUCAUUGUAUCGACUUGUUUGGGUUGUCUCUCUAGCUCCGAAUCUGUUUUCUGGUGCGCGGUGCAGGACUAAGCCGGCUCUGAUGUGGGUUGUUACUUCUUCCAUCGGAUUUGGAGAGACGUGUCUUAGGCAGGUCAAUGGUGGUCUGGUCUUGAAUUGAGUUCAGAGUUCUUUGAAUUUCUGGUGAAAGAGUGGUCUGUGGCUGUGUUUGAAGAGUCCUUGAUGAGGGCUUUUAGCUAUGGAGUGUGUUCAUAUUGGGGCUUGUCCUCGAUACGGUGGCCUCUUUUGACCCUUGAGUUUGAUUGUUUAGUGUGGUCAUUGCGAAGCUUCGGUGCUGUGUGGAUGUGAUGUUCUUUGAUAUUUAACCGACGGGUUUAUCCGGAUUUUAUGGCAAGGGACUUUGGAGCUUAUACUCUUUCGCGUGGGGUCAUUGAGCUGACGAUUGUCAACCUAGUUUCUUCAUUGACUGCUCGGGUGGAGAUCCGUUUUCUUGUGGCUUCUUUAGGAUGAAGCUUGCUCUUAAGUGACGGUUGCUGGCGGGUCCUCAGGUGUUGGUCCUCAAGCCUUGCUCUCAUCCCAAAUAAAUUUGACAUCCAACGCUUUUUCAUUUAUUCUAGCAUCCGGCUCCAGCUAGCUUCCCUUCUUGACGAUUAUGUGUGAACACUAGAAGUUUUAAAGACUCUUUCUCAUUUUUUUUUUUAAGUUUAUGUAAUCGAUUUCAGCUUCUUUGUUGGUUUUGGGGGGCUUUGUUUAGUCCCGCCGGCUUAUGGCUCUGGAAGGAAUGUAUUCCUUGCCGGUUCUGGUUUGUAAGAACUGUUGUUUAUGUGUUUAAUAUAAUCUACAGAUGACAAAAAAAAA